AGGUUGGGGUGACCUCGGAGUAUAAAAUAGCCUCCGAAUGAUUUAAAUCAAGACCUACCAGUCAAAAGUAUUACAUCACUUAUUGAUCCAAAUAUAUCAUUUGAUCAACGGAACAAGUUACCCUAGGGAUAACAGC
rnacentral:rRNA from 1 species